CCUACGGGUGGCAGCAGUGAGGAAUAUUGGUCAAUGGACGCGAGUCUGAACCAGCCAAGUCGCGUGAAGGAAGACUGCCCUAUGGGUUGUAAACUUCUUUUAUACAGGAGUAAAACGAGGCACGUGUGCCUUUUUGCAUGUACUUUAUGAAUAAGGAUCGGCUAACUCCGUGCCAGCAGCCGCGGUAAUACGGAGGAUUCGAGCGUUAUCCGGAUUUAUUGGGUUUAAAGGGAGCGUAGAUGGGUUGAUAAGUCAGUGGUGAAAGUUUGCGGCUCAACCGUAGAAUUGCAAUUGAUAGUGGCCGGCUUGAGAACAGUUGAGGUAGGCGGAAUGUGUGGUGUAGCGGUGAAAUGCUUAGAGAUCA
rnacentral:rRNA from 1 species